CGGUGUAGCUCAGUGGUAGAGCAACGCUUUCGUAAAGCGUAGGUCAAGGGUUCGACUCCCUUCACCG
rnacentral:tRNA from 1 species